rnacentral:rRNA from 1 species
UAGGGAAUAUUGGUCAACGGAUGCAAGUCUGAACCAGCCAUGCCGCGUGCAGGAAGAAGGCCUUCUGGGUUGUAAACUGCUUUUGUCAGGGGAUAAAAUUUCCUUGCGAGGAAAAUUGAAGGUACCUGGCGAAUAAGCCACGGCUAACUACGUGCCAGCAGCCGCGGUAAUACGUAGGUGGCAAGCGUUGUCCGGAUUUAUUGGGUUUAAAGGGUGCGUAGGCGGCCCUGUAAGUCAGUGGUGAAAUAUUUCAGCUCAACUGGAAUUGUGCCAUUGAUACUGCGGGGCUUGAGUACAGAUGAGGUAGGCGGAAUUGACGGUGUAGCGGUGAAAUGCUUAGAUAUCGUCAAGAACACCUAUAGCGAAGGCAGCUUACUAGGCUGUAACUGACGCUGAGGCACGAAAGUGUGGGGAUCAAACAGGAUUAGAUACCCUGGUAGUCCACACUGUAAACGUUGAUUACUCGCUGUGUGCGAUAUACAGUACGCGG